UUUUGAAAUAGCGAAUAGUGUACUAGAAAUAAAAAUUUUAAAAAUUAGAAUCGGAAAUGAGAUAUCGAGAGUUUAAAAAUUUAAAAACGAGCCAUAAAUAUUUUUAUAAAUAUUUAUGGAGUGUUAAUAAGUUAGUAUUAAAGUUUCGUUAAGAAAUUUUAAAGUUUCGAUAGUUAAUUGAAUAAAAAGGAUUAAAUUGUAACAAAUAUAAAAUUAUUGG
rnacentral:lncRNA from 1 species